rnacentral:rRNA from 1 species
GAUGAACGCUGGCGGCGUGCCUAACACAUGCAAGUCGAACGAACCUGAUUUGGAUUCUUCGGAUGACGAUGAUGGUUAGUGGCGGAUGGGUGAGUAACACGUAGGUGACCUGCCCCGAUGUGGGGAAUAACUGCUGGAAACGGUAGCUAAUACCCCAUGUGAUCGGCAAUUCGGUUUGUCGAUUAAAGCUUCGGCGCGUCGGGAGGGGUCUGCGGUCCAUCAGGUAGUUGGUAGGGUAAUGGCCUACCAAGCCGAUGACGGAUAGCUGGUCUGAGAGGAUGAUCAGCCACACUGGAACUGAAACACGGUCCAGACUCCUACGGGUGGCUG